UACGGAGGGGGCUAGCGUUGUUCGGAGUUACUGGGCGUAAAGCGCACGUAGGCGGCUUUGCAAGUUAGAGGUGAAAGCCCGGAGCUCAACUCCGGAAUUGCCUUUAAAACUGCAUCGCUAGAAUUGUGGAGAGGUAAGUGGAAUUCCGAGUGUAGAGGUGAAAUUCGUAGAUAUUCGGAAGAACACCAGUGGCGAAGGCGACUUACUGGACACAUAUUGACGCUGAGGUGCGAAAGCGUGGGGAGCAAACAGG
rnacentral:rRNA from 1 species